UCUGAUCUGGAUCCCCAAUACCCUGAAGGUUCUUACGUUUCAUUGAUUCCAUUAAAAUCAUAAGAGCAUGCGAAUACUCUCGCAGAGACUCUCCCUCUAGCUGGCGACGUUGGAAGAACUGCUUCUGUAAACCAACAAAAGACUGAGAACAUCCGUACAUAUCAAGCAAGAUAAUAAAAAUCUUUUCAGGGUCAUCCCUAUCCUCUAAGGGGUGAAACUUAACUUCAAUUUUAGCUUCUCCAUCCAAGAGAUCAUAUACAAAUAAAGCUUUUUCAGCUAUAGAAACUGGUCUUACUGAAAGAGAUCUACGUACCUCUUCUACCCAAUCUUCCACAGUCAUAUCAUCCUGGGACUUUUUACCCGAAAACCUGGGGCAUUUCCUUUCCCGAGGAACAUAAACAUAACGCUCAGGUACAGAAACCAUUAGGAUUAACGGGUUCAGUAUUGUUAACACCAUUCCCUGAUCUUCUAUCCAAUUCUUCUCUAAGCUGCUGAUUAUCUGCUUGCAGCUGUUGCACUAACUCAGUUAACAUUCUCAGUUGCUCCUCCAUUACACUACUACACAAAACAAAA